rnacentral:rRNA from 1 species
UACGUAGGGUGCAAGCGUUGUUCGGAAUCACUGGGCGUAAAGGGAGUGUAGGCGGGAUCGUAAGUUAGGAGUUUAAUCCUCGGGCUCAACCUGAGGUCUGCUUUUAAUACUGCGGUUCUUGAGUAUGGGGGAGGGCGAUGGAAUUCCAGGUGUAGCGGUGGAAUGCGUAGAUAUCUGGAAGAACACCAGUAGCGAAGGCGGUCGCCUGGCCCAAUACUGACGCUGAUACUCGAAAGCUAGGGGAGCAAACAGG